GGGCGCUUAGCUCAGCGGGAGAGCACUGCCUUCACACGGCAGGGGUCGCAGGUUCGAACCCUGCAGCGCCCACCA
rnacentral:tRNA from 1 species